UGUAUAUAUAUAUAUAUAUAUAUAUAUUACUAAAAAUAUCAAACGAAAGUUUGGACCUUUUAUGUUUUGUAAAAAUUUAGAAAAAUCUAUUGGAAACUUAAAUGGUUUGCAAAUUGAAAAAAGUGACAUUAUGAAUGGAAAAGUGAUUUGUAUUUUAUUUUAUACUCUCAGGAUACAAAUGUUUGAUGUUUCAACUAUUUAACAUAUAUUAAAAAUAAUAAAUAAAUUAUUUUGUUUAAUACUUUUUGGUUUUACCAAUAAAAUUAUACCAUUAAUAUUUGUACAUUUUAUUUGAUGUUUUAGUUUUCUUUUUAAAUGUAUAUUGACUAUACGUUAAAACAUCAAUGUUUUAAAUACAAUAACAAAAAAGAAAAUUUGUGCACAUAAUAACAAAAACUAAAACAUCGAUCAUUGGUAUAUACCAUAUACCGGAGGGUUAAAAAGUAGUCACGUGCAUAGCAUAGAUCAUACACAUGUGCCUAUGUUAAAAAAGACGAGACAGUCUCGUGACUGUCGUCAUGACUGUUACAAGGCUGCUGAUGCCCAAGAUGUAUUAAUGUACUAUUGAAUCAAAAUCGGCUUAAUUAUCAGAUUAAAAAUUCGCUAAGAUUCGUGCUUACUUACUUCUAUCGAAAACAACAACAUUAACAUUUUAAAACAAGUAGAUAUUUAGAAAUAAAGAAAAAAUGUGUGUGUAUAUAUGUGUAUUACAGCGGGAAAGACAGCUACAACCUCUGUUUUUCUUGAUUGUUUAAAACUAGUGCAUGAUAAAAACGAAUAAUUAAACUUGGAGGAUAAAAUGUAAUAAAGAAAGACUAGCUAUAUGGCGACAUUACUAACUUGAUCAGUGGAACCUUAAAAUAAAAAAGAGGAAUAAAAUAAUUAUAACGAAGUUGCAAAGUUUUAAGUGUAAAUAGAUCGCCACAGUUAAGUUCACUCAAGAACAUAAUUUCAGAAAAAGCAAAGAAAACAAAAAAAAUGGCAAAGAACAUGGACUCCAUCAGCUUCACCGUUCUCUUUCUUGUCCUUUCGAUGGCUUCUACGGACAUUAUGAAGAGCGAGGCUACAUGCAUUUUCUUAAACGGCCGCACGAUGACUUCCCCAUGUUUAGAUACUAAAUGCAGAGCCUAUUGCGACAACCUAUAUGGCAGUACUAAUAUUUGUGCUGCACCUUGUGAAGCUGUCGGAAAAAAAAUCAACUGCCAUUGUUACGGAUAUACCUGGUGAAGUUUGAGGAUAUCACAAGCGUAUACGUUUAUGUUCAAGUUUCGCUUGCUCCCACAUGGAACGUCAAGGGAAAAUUUUAGCACUGCUUGCCCCAAGGUGAAACCCCAUAUGUUGUGUGCACUUUGAAUCAUUCUUAAUAGUAAACUCGUUUUUGUUU